UAUGAAAGAACUAGGUGUGCGACAAGUAGGGCGGGACACGUGAAAUCCUGUCUGAAGAUGGGGGGACCAUCCUCCAAGGCUAAAUACUCGUGAUCGACCGAUAGUGAACCAGUACCGUGAGGGAAAGGCGAAAAGAACCCCGGGAGGGGAGUGAAAUAGAUCCUGAAACCGCAUGCAUACAAACAGUCGGAGCCUCGUAAGGGGUGACGGCGUACCUUUUGUAUAAUGGGUCAGCGACUUACGUUCAGUAGCAAGCUUAACCGUAUAGGGCAGGCGUAGCGAAAGCGAGUCCGAAUAGGGCGUUCAGUUGCUGGGCGUAGACCCGAAACCAGGUGAUCUAUCCAUGGCCAGGAUGAAGGUGCGGUAACACGUACUGGAGGUCCGAACCCACUAACGUUGAAAAGUUAGGGGAUGAGCUGUGGAUAGGGGUGAAAGGCUAAACAAACCUGGAAAUAGCUGGUUCUCUCCGAAAACUAUUUAGGUAGUGCCUCGUGUCUCACCUUCGGGGGUAGAGCACUGUCAUGGUUGGGGGGUCUAUUGCAGAUUACCCCGCCAUAGCAAACUCCGAAUACCGAAGAGUGCAAUCACGGGAGACAGACAUCGGGUGCUAACGUCCGGUGUCAAGAGGGAAACAACCCAGACCGCCAGCUAAGGUCCCCAAAUAUAGCUAAGUGGGAAACGAAGUGGGAAGGCUAAAACAGUCAGGAGGUUGGCUUAGAAGCAGCCACCCUUUAAAGAAAGCGUAAUAGCUCACUGAUCGAGUCGUCCUGCGCGGAAGAUGUAACGGGGCUAAGCUA
rnacentral:rRNA from 1 species